GGGGGCGAUUAGGAUUCGACGCCGGUAACAAAACCCGAAGUGCAUGUCGUGAGGGUAGCCAAUCACGUAAAUCCAAAGCUGCAAAUUAUCAGUUGCCAAUGAUGACAACUACGGUGCUCAACUAGCUGCGUAAGUAGCUUUUUGUUACACCAUCUAGCGGUACGCCGCUAGCGGUUUUUAACAAGGUGCCAGUACCGCGUUAACGACUGUCACUUAGAACUGGAUCGCAGUGAAGCCUGCCUGGGGUGGAUCAGCUAAACUUUUACAGGAUCGCGCUUUUCGUCCCGCCCGCUGGGCUGUAAAGCGUUAAAUCAAUAAGCGGUUCUAAGCAUGUAGAGCUGACGGCGGAGUACUGACGGACGGGGGUUCAAAUCCCCCCGCCUCCACCA
rnacentral:tmRNA from 2 species